rnacentral:rRNA from 1 species
CAAUAGCGUAUAUCAAAGUUGUUGCAGUUAAAAAGCUCGCAGUUGGAUUUCUGGUAGGAGUGACCGUUCCGAACUUGAUUGUUCGUGUAUUGUGUUUUCUCCAGCCAUCCUUGUGGAGAACUUUUCUUGCAUUAAUUUGUAGGGAUUGGGACCCGCAUCGUUUACUGUGAAAAAAUUAGAGUGUUUAAAGCAGGCAAUCGCUUGAAUACAUUAGCAUGGAAUAAUAAGAUAGGACUUUGGUACUAUUUUGUUGGUUUGCAUACCAAAUUAAUGAUCAACAGGAACAGUUUGAGGAUAUUCGUAUGAACAUGUCAGAGGUGAAAUUCUUGGAUUUUGAUCAGACGAACUACUGCGAAAGCGUUUAUCAAGGAUGUUUUCAUUAA